CACUCUCUAGUCUCUCUCCCACGUCUGCCAAACGUCUCUUAACUCCCUCUCUCCACUUGCUCUCUCACGCUCUCUUUCUCUCUCUAGGAUUCUCUCUCUCGAUCCCUAAUGCCGCCGUCGCACCACCGUUACCAGAACCACCGCCUCCUUCACAACCACAUCAACGACGCCCCUCUUCUGCAGCAGCGCCGUAGUCCGCAUCUGCCGCUCUCUGAAAAUUACUCGGCUGGGACUCACUGCUGAGCUUGGCCUCUCUCUGAAAUUCAUCCUUAUCCCUACAUUCCCUCUCUAAUCUCUCUCUCAUGGCGUCGACUCUCCGCCAACAUUCCCUUCUCCAUCCCCUCGCUCCGAUCCAAACCCCCACAAAUUCGCCUUUCAAAACCCUAAAAUCUCCUCCCGAUUGAGACGAUCAUCCUACUCUCUCUCAUCAAGCCCUCACUCUCUCUCUAGGGUUUCCGAUUCUGCACUCUGUCGGUGCCACAGGAACAACGAUGACUCGGCCUCAGCUUCUCCAUCGGAUAACUCAUCCUCCGUUAACCGUCGGUGGGAUUCGGUGAUUCAGGAGGUGUUGAGGAACGCGGUUAAGAACCGUAACCAGUCGAAAGGUGUAUUGAAGAGUGUUGAUGUUUUCGAGAGAGGAAGUGAAGUGGUUGAUGAUGAAGACUGGGAUUGGGACCGGUGGCGGAAGCAUUUCAGCGAGGUCGAUGAGCAAGAGCGUAUUGUAUCGAUUUUGAAGGUCAUCCAACGGUUGCAGCAAGGUAAAAAACUGAAAGCAGUUUUAGGUGGAGCUGGAGGAAUCAACAUGACAACAUUCCUACUGCAACGACUCAGGUUUUCUUAAAUCAUUUGGUCAUGGGUUUGUAUCCACUCUCCUCUAUAAUGGCUCUGAGAUACUUUCAUACAUUAAUUCCCAAUGCGCUGUAUUAUGGACAUCUUCUCUUGGUGACCAGUAUGCAGCCAUUGUCAAUGCUCAAGAAGAAGGGCCAUGCCAUGCCCUACACUCCGUAGACGGUAGGACUAUUUGCCAGCUCGUUGCUCAAAAGUUGGAGGGUCCAAACUUGGGGAUGCUCGCGGCGGCUAACGACCCAAGAAAGGGUGGGUUUCCAGCUGGUUACUGAGUUUGUGGAAAAUUAACUUUCUUGGAAUUCAAUUGACUCAUAUC